UGCCUAGUACGGCGAGUGAAGCGGCAACAGCUCAAAUUUGAAAUCUGGCUCUCGGGCCCGAGUUGUAAUUUGUAGAGGAUACUUUUGAUGCGGUGCCUUCCGAGUUCCCUGGAACGGGACGCCAUAGAGGGUGAGAGCCCCGUCUGGUUGGAUGCCAAAUCUCUGUAAAGUUCCUUCGACGAGUCGAGUAGUUUGGGAAUGCUGCUCUAAAUGGGAGGUAUAUGUCUUCUAAAGCUAAAUACCGGCCAGAGACCGAUAGCGCACAAGUAGAGUGAUCGAAAGAUGAAAAGCACUUUGAAAAGAGAGUUAAAAAGUACGUGAAAUUGUUGAAAGGGAAGCGUUUAUGACCAGACUUGGGCUUGGUUAAUCAUCUGGGGUUCUCCCCAGUGCACUUUUCCAGUCCAGGCCAGCAUCAGUUUUCGCCGGGGGAUAAAGACUUCGGGAAUGUGGCUCUCUUCGGGGAGUGUUAUAGCCCGUUGUGUAAUACCCUGGCGGGGACUGAGGUUCGCGCAUCUGCAAGGAUGCUGGCGUAAUGGUCAUCAACGACCCGUCUUGACC
rnacentral:rRNA from 1 species